rnacentral:lncRNA from 1 species
UGGAAAGUAACCUUUAAAUAUCCCGACACCUUGUAUAAAUUGGCCCCCAAAUUAAUUACAUUUUAACGUAAACUGUUGAAUAAAGUGCAGAGAGAGUGCUAGCGUUAGGGCCUGGAGCAGGACUGUUACAAACUUAGGCAACUCAGGUUAACAAAUUGUGGAAAACUGUCACCUUUACUGCAGGCUGAUUCUGUUGAGCCCUUCUUGGUUUACAUUAGAAUGCUAAGGAUCAACAACCCUCUGGUUAAUCUUACAGAGUUAGCGUUUUCAAGAGGAAAGCAGAGAAAAAAACCCAGUUAGGUACCAGGACCCAUUUGUUUCUGCAGCGGGAAGGAAAAAUUAGUCUUCUGGUGUUCGUCGGGCCUACCUCCCAAAGAAGGAGGCAGGGGCCCAGCUCUGCCAAACCUCAAGAGGAGGAGGAGGAGAAACGAGGAAGUCAAGGGAGCUGAGAUGGGGAUUGAGAUUCAGGACGAGAAAGGAACCACAGGAAAGGUUCGCCCUCCCCUGCCCCAGGGCUCACGGGACGGCGGCCGCUUCGGCUGAGGGGCCAACGCCAAAAGGUCGACCAAAAGUGAAGGCUUUGAGGUUUGGACGCCUCCUCUGGCAGCCGAGCUCUCCCAGAACCCGGGACUCUGGCUCUCCGGCGCUGCUUACGUUCCAAGGAGACGAGCCGGACAAACACAAGUCUCCCACGUUCCCCCCCACCCCAUCUCCUUCGGGAAAUUUUCAGACGGAACACAACGUUUUAAACGGAAUCGGCCUGGAGGAUUCUUUCGCUAGCAGGGUAUUGGGUGGCAUUGCAAGCACUUUAAAAUCGUCCCUUCAGAAGAGGGAAGUACUGAAAUAAAUUUGAGUGUUAAGACCAGCUAAUGUAGGUUUCUGAAUGCUAUAUAAUUUCUCAUUUAUCCAAAGGCACAACCUUCUUGCGUGUUUCUGUUGGUAUAUACUCGAUUACCACACAGAUUUUUGGUGAAUUGUAAAUACAGCUCUUGUAAAAGCACUGCCUCAAAAAUGCUGUUUUAAAGAACCCGGAGAGAGGACACUGCUUGAAUUCUUCCUUUAUGUACAUAAAUUAGGAACAUCUUCUGCUUAAAAUGUUUCCCUUCAUCUCAUUAAAGGAAUCCAUGUCCUUGUUCGGUCUGCAAGCCAUGAACGAUUAAAGCCGAAAUGUGAAUUCUUGUUAAAAUGACUCCGGUUCUUCGAAAUUUGGUCCAACCACGUAAAGGUAAGGCCGUGUGAAAGAGCAAAGGCGUGACUGGGCCCGGUCAGUCUCUCAAAUUAAUUUGCCGAGGAGCGCUUAUUUCUUGGGGAGUCAGAACUAAAAUUAUAAUCCCACCACACAGAAUAAAGAGAAGCAGCGUGGCUCAGUGGAAAGAGCCCGGGCUUGGGAGUCAGAGGUCAUGGGUUCGAAUCCUGAUUGGCCACCUGUCAGCUGUGUGACUUUGGGCAAGUCACUUAUCUUCUCGGUGCCUCAGUUACCUCAUCUGCAAAAUGGGGAUGAAGACUGUGAACCUCAUGUGGGACAACCUGAUUACCAGAACAGUGCUCUGCACAUAGUAAGCGCUUAACAAAUACCAACCUUGAGAAGCAGCAUGGCUCAGUGGAAAGAGCACAGGCUUAGGAGUCAGAGGUCAUGGGUUCUAAUCCUGGCUCCGCCACCUGUCGGCCGUGUGACUUUGGGCAAGUCACUUAACUUCUCGGUGCCUCAGUUACCUCAUCUGUAAAAUGGGGAUAAAGACUGUGAGCCUCAAGUGGGACAACCUGAUUACCUUGUAUCUCCCCCGGCACUUAGAACAGUGCUUGGCAGAUAGUAAGCGCUAAAUAAAUACCAACAUUAUUAUUAUUAAUUUGAAAUGAGCCGAGGUCCCUACCAGAAUGAAGCAUGACGUGAGGGGAGGAAUCCACAGCACAGUGCUCUGCAGACAGUAAGCACUCAAUAAAUUCGAUCGACCGGAUGAACGACGGGGACCGCGUCCCACCCGAUUAGCUUGUAACAAUAAUAAUAAUGGUACUUGUUAAGCGCUGACUAUGUGCCAAGCACUGUUCUUGGUAGAUACAAGGUAAUCAGGUGGGACCCGGUCCCUGGCCCACGAAGGUCUCACACCCUUAAUCCCCAUUUUACAGACGAGGUAACUGCGGCCCAGAGAAGUGAGGUGACUCACCCAAGGUCACACAGCAGACACGUGGGAGAGCCGGGAUGAGAACCCCGGUCCUUCUGACCUCCAGGCCGCUGCCCUACCCACUAGGCCAUGCUGCUCGGUCCUACCCCAGUGCUUAGAACAGUGCUCGCACGUAGUAAGCACUCAAGAAAUGCCAUCUUAAGCAUCCUAAAAACCUCGGCUCCAUCAAGAGAAACGUCCUAGCGGGAAGGGGGCGGGAGGGUGAGCAAGCCGCCCCGUCAGUGAAAGUGUGCGAAUGGCCGGCGGGGAGGGGCCGGAGGCUCGGCCAAUGGAGCGCGCUCUCCGCCCGUCAACGUGCCGCCCCGAGCCUCUCCCCCGUCAACGGUCCCCUCGGAGCACGUCAGGAAUCCCGAAGAACGUCCAUCGAGCCCAAGGUUCGGUCGACAAGGAAUGACCGGAAGCCCGUUAGGACAUACGAAAUGGACGAGGGCUUUCCGGUCACUCCCCACCGAGGGCUUCAGGUUCCUGGGCGAGCAGAAUAAGCCCCAGUGGUAUCUGA